UGGUACAUUUUAUUUGAAAUGGUUUUUUAAUAAUUUCUAACAGUUUAUUUAAGAAAAUAAACAAAAAAACAACCGAAAACUAACGACGGUGUGAUAUAUAGGUUAUAUUUUUAUUCAUUCUUGUGAGUACAAAAGGAGCAAAUACGGCACUACCACCAAAAUAUACCUUUCCGGUUUAUCAAACGCUGCUCAGAAUAAUUUUUUUAUUGCAAUUGUUUGUCAUUAAUUCCAUUAAAAUAGUACAAACUAAAUUAGCUUUACUGCACACUUUUCGUGUAUGUAUUUUGUAUCAAACUUCUCACCUACACCGUAUGAUGACCUGCCUGUGGUACGAAGCGUAUGUCCGGGUUUUAAUUGUUUAUUGCACCUAUGGAAAUAUUUUAGUAAACCAGUUUUGUUUUCGAACAAAAAUAACGACUUGGUAAAAUGAUGUAAUAAAAUAAAAUGCGUCAGAUAACUUAAGCUCUGGCAUCUCCGUCGGCAAGUACCUAACGAGGUAUACAAGUUCAGCGGUUUGACCGGUUUUAAAAUGAGGUCUAUAGUCGUAGACUACCGGAAAAAAAAACAUAUUUCUAUAAUCCUCAUGUUAUGAAAUCUCACGACAACAAAUCUCGCAGGCACACAAAACAUAUUAUUUAAUUAACAUAAUAUAAAUAUACUAGCUGACCUGGCAAACGUUGUCUUGUCAUAUAAAUUAAUAGUUAGAUUUCUAAUGGAUAUUUUGGUACUCAAACAAAAAAUAACUAAGUUAUUGUGUAUGGGGAUGUGGGACUGAAAGAGGAAUAGAGCACUGUGAACGAUGACUGCCUAUAAACCUAUAGCUGAUCCCGCCAGGCGUUGGCCGUGCCAUUUUUUUUUGUUUCUGAACUAUUCCUUUUUGGUUUUGACUGUGUCAGUAACUAGUAUUGAAUGUAAACAAAUAGGUGGAAAGUGGGUAGUCCACCUCCGACGGACUAAACGUGUUUUGUUGUGUCAAGACUAUACUAACUACAAAAAUGUGAAAUGAAAAUGAUUGUGUGCGUGCGAUAACAACCGGACAACCAGGUAGUAUUUUACUAUUUAAUAUUGCAAAUAAUAGCUUCUUCACCGAUCUCUCAGUUUUCACAUGAUUUUUUAGAAUAUUUAUGAAAAAACAAACAAAGAAUAAAAUUAAAAACAUCUACAAAUUCAAUGACUGUAGUCAGAAACGUUUAUUGCACAUUAAAAACAUUAUCAAUAUAAUUGUAUUUUAAUUUAUUUUCAUUAAUAUGGUCAGUUGUAUUUCUUUUAAAAUAUCUUAUUGGGGAAAAAAAUUUAAAUAAAAAAUAUCUUAGACUUAUGAAAAUAUAUAAAAGAUAUAAUAGACUAUAUUUUAUACCACUAAACUAUAACAUUUCUUGGUAGCUUAUAUUAUCUAUUCUUUUGUAGGAGCAUAUAUAUAUAUAAUUUUUUUGCCAAACUUACUUGAGAACAUGCAACAUAAAAUUAGCUACAUAUAAUAAAGACUAAACUAGUGUAUAUAUUGUUGGUGAAUGCGUGAUGCUCGAGAUUAUUUUCAUCCAUUGCUUCUCGGAACGCUCGCCAAUAAAACACGCAAAAGAAAAAAUGGUCAGGUUGCAGGUAGCUGAAACUAAUUAACUUAGACAAAUGCUAUUGCAAUAGAAACCCUCUCUGUGAUAUACUCUUUUGUUUUAAAAUAAAAUCAAGAAGAUCUUAUAAGUAGUUUCAGAGUUUACUCUGUACAAAGAUUUUCAUUUCACAUUUAUAUAGUUAGAUAAUAUCUGCUAGUACUUACGUACUAUGGACACUGACAGAAAAUUUUUGGAAAAAAAAUCUUAGGAACAAAGAUAAUAUGUAUAGGUACCUAUAAAUAAUUAUGUAAUUAAUAAUAUCACAACGUAUUGACUAUAAUAUGUAGCAAUACAAAUAAUUAUUAAAUUAAAGGGAUUCGAUACUGGCUGUUUUCUAUCAAACCUAUAUAG